UUAGGGGUCUUCGAACAGAGGUGCAAAUGGGCCACGGUCACUGACCUCCCCUCUCCCAGCUAAUUCCAUGGACCGUGGUGUCUGGGUGCCUCGCAAUCUGGAAGCGGUUUAUCCUCCCACUACCUUGUGGGGCAGGGCAGGGCCACUACCUCCAUUGGCCAGAUGGGGAAACUGAGGCACCAAGAGGCUAAAGGUCUCUCUGGCCGAACAGGGCGCUUUCCCUGAGCCAGAUAACGGGACAACCACCACCCUUCCCUAGUCCCCACUCGCUUCCCAGAGCUGGGGAGAGAACUCAGGACUCGUCACUUGCAGGUGCCCCUGGACUAGGCGCCCGGGAGCCCUCCCCACCCGAAGUGGGCUGAGUCUAACACAAGCCAACAGCUGGGAGUUGUCGCUGGACAAAUUCAGCCCUGAAAUAAGAUCAGUGAGUGACGUCCCAGACUGUUUGCUCACUGGGGUGGGAGCUGUUCCUGGGCAGCAUCGGGCACGACGGGGGUGCUGAUCUUGAUAAAGGCUGCAGCAACAAAGGGAACGUUACCAUGGAGUCAAAGUCCGACUGGCUGCAUGUAAGGUGUACAUUAGCCCAGGUUCUGGGGUUCAACAUUCAGAACGGUGUCAGGAUCUGGAGUUCUGUGGCAAUGUUUACCUGGUCUAAAGUACCCGUGGAUAUUCUUAUUAGUUGCAUAUAUUGUGCACCCUGCUGAAAUCUGAGCCUCACUCGGCAGCAUGUGGCAAUGAGUUCCACCCGCUAAUUUGCACUGGGU